GAUGAACGCUGGCGGCGUGCCUAAUACAUGCAAGUCGAGCGAACGGACGAGAAGCUUGCUUCUCUGAUGUUAGCGGCGGACGGGUGAGUAACACGUGGAUAACCUACCUAUAAGACUGGGAUAACUUCGGGAAACCGGAGCUAAUACCGGAUAAUAUUUUGAACCGCAUGGUUCAACAGUGAAAGACGGUCUUGCUGUCACUUAUAGAUGGAUCCGCGCUGCAUUAGCUAGUUGGUAAGGUAACGGCUUACCAAGGCAACGAUGCAUAGCCGACCUGAGAGGGUGAUCGGCCACACUGGAACUGAGACACGGUCCAGACUCCUACGGGAGGCAGCAGUAGGGAAUCUGCCGCAAUGGGCGAAAGCCUGACGGAGCAACGCCGCGUGAGUGAUGAAGGUCUUCGGAUCGUAAAACUCUGUUAUUAGGGAAGAACAUAUGUGUAAGUAACUGUGCACAUCUUGACGGUACCUAAUCAGAAAGCCACGGCUAACUACGUG
rnacentral:rRNA from 1 species